AGAGUUUGAUCCUGGCUCAGAUUGAACGCUGGCGGCAGGCCUAACACAUGCAAGUCGAACGGUAACAGGAAGCAGCUUGCUGCUUUGCUGACGAGUGGCGGACGGGUGAGUAAUGUCUGGGAAACUGCCUGAUGGAGGGGGAUAGCUACUGGAAACGGUAGCUAAUACCGCAUAACGUCGCAAGACCAAAGAGGGGGACCUUCGGGCCUCUUGCCAUCGGAUGUGCCCAGAUGGGAUUAGCUAGUAGGUGGGGUAACGGCUCACCUAGACGACGAUCCCUAGCUGGUCUGAGAGGAUGACCAGACACACUGGAACUGAGACACGGUCCAGACUCCUACGGGAGGCAGCAGUGGGGAAUAUU
rnacentral:rRNA from 1 species